rnacentral:lncRNA from 1 species
GGAGAUUUCAAAACCCCCCUGGUUCCUGUCUUGCAAGGAUCUUGAAGAACAGCAAGAAGAUGGUUGUGUGGAAAAGAAUUAAGAGAGAACCAAACUAAAAAAAGGCCACAGGCAAUGGUCAUGGAGUGCUUGAAGGGCAUUUGCCUUCCCUCAUCACAAAAUUGAAGGGAGUCAGCAGAAUGGUUCAAGAAGGAGCAGAUGGAAACAGCUGCCAACAGAUGAGUACUGGAAUGGAUUCAAGCCACACUACUUGCUGGAACUUGAGAGUUUGUGAUGGCCUGAGCUUUCCCAAGCACAGGGAGUCAGUGGGAGACCUUUACAAAGUUGGACUUUGA